UCGAACGCGAAAGUCCCGCAAGGGAUCAGUAGAGUGGCAAACGGGUGAGUAACGCGUGGGUGACCUGCCUUCGAGCGGGGGAUAACGUUCCGAAAGGGACGCUAAUACCGCAUAACAUCCUGCCUUUUAAGAGGUGGAGAUCAAAGCCUGGGACCGCAAGGCCAGGCACUCGAAGAGGGGCCCGCGUCCGAUUAGCUAGUUGGUGGGGUAAUGGCUCACCAAGGCUCCGAUCGGUAUCCGGCCUGAGAGGGCGGACGGACACACUGGGACUGAGACACGGCCCAGACUCCUACGGGAGGCAGCAGUGGGGAAUUGUUCGCAAUGGGCGCAAGCCUGACGACGCAACGCCGCGUGGAGGAUGAAGAUCUUCGGGUCGUAAACUCCUUUCGAUCGAGACGAACGACUUCCGGGUAACAUCCGGAAGAGUGACGGUACCGAGAGAAGAAGCCCCGGCUAACUCCGUGCCAGCAGCCGCGGUAAUACGGGGGGGGCAAGCGUUGUUCGGAAUUACUGGGCGUAAAGGGCUCGUAGGUGGCCAACUAAGUCAGACGUGAAAUCCCUCGGCUUAACCGGGGAACUGCGUCUGAUACUGGAUGGCUUGAGUUUGGGAGAGGGACGCGGAAUUCCAGGUGUAGCGGUGAAAUGCGUAGAUAUCUGGAGGAACA
rnacentral:rRNA from 1 species